rnacentral:rRNA from 1 species
AGAUGGACCUGCGUUGUAUUAGCUAGUAGGUGAGGUAAUGGCUCACCUAGGCGACGAUACAUAGCCGACCUGAGAGGGUGAUCGGCCACACUGGGACUGAGACACGGCCCAGACUCCUACGGGAGGCAGCAGUAGGGAAUCUUCGGCAAUGGGGGCAACCCUGACCGAGCAACGCCGCGUGAGUGAAGAAGGUUUUCGGAUCGUAAAGCUCUGUUGUAAGUCAAGAACGGGUGUGAGAGUGGAAAGUUCACACUGUGACGGUAGCUUACCAGAAAGGGACGGCUAACUACGUGCCAGCAGCCGCGGUAAUACGUAGGUCCCGAGCGUUGUCCGGAUUUAUUGGGCGUAAAGCGAGCGCAGGCGGUUUGAUAAGUCUGAAGUUAAAGGCUGUGGCUCAACCAUAGUUCGCUUUGGAAACUGUCAAACUUGAGUGCAGAAGGGGAGAGUGGAAUUCCAUGUGUAGCGGUGAAAUGCGUAGAUAUAUGGAGGAACACCGGUGGCGAAAGCGGCUCUCUGGUCUGUAACUGACGCUGAGGCUCGAAAGCGUGGGGAGCGAACAGGAUUAGAUACCCUGGUAGUCCACGCCGUAAACGAUGAGUGCUAGGUGUUGGAUCCUUUCCGGGAUUCAGUGCCGCAGCUAACGCAUUAAGCACUCCGCCUGGGGAGUACGACCGCAAGGUUGAAACUCAAAG